GCAAACUUGGUCAUUUAGAGGAAGUAAAAGUCAUAACAAGGUUUCCGUAGGUGAACCUGCGGAAGGAUCAUUAGUGAUUUCGGCCGAGAGGCCUUUGUCCAAUCCACACACAUGUGAACCCGUCGGCGUGGGGGGCGCGAGCCCGCCCGUCGGUCAUAUACAAACAUCAGUGUCAUGAACGUCAUGUAACAGAAACAUAAACAAAACUUUCAACAACGGAUCUCUUGGCUCUCGCAUCGAUGAAGAACGCAGC
rnacentral:misc_RNA from 1 species